CUUCUCUCAGGAUUGCACCUGGAGAGUUUCCAGUUCUCUACCGGCCUUGGCUACGGGCGGGAGUCGAGCAGAGGCCUAUCCAUUCCAUUCCUAGCUUGGCCAGUGGCUAGUGAGUGGAAGACAAUCUGCUACAAGU